rnacentral:rRNA from 1 species
GACGUAGGGUGCGAGCGUUGUCCGGAUUUAUUGGGCGUAAAGAGCUCGUAGGCGGCUUGUCGCGUCGACCGUGAAAACUUGGGGCUCAACCCCAAGCCUGCGGUCGAUACGGGCAGGCUAGAGUUCGGUAGGGGAGACUGGAAUUCCUGGUGUAGCGGUGAAAUGCGUAGAUAUCGGGGGGAACACCAGUGGCGAAAGCGGCACCCUGGACCGGUAUUGACGCUGAGGCGCGAAAGCCAGGGGAGCAAACGGG